rfam:Streptococcus sp. FF10 genome assembly, contig: CONTIG000005
ACUAUCGCGAGGUAGCGGGGAGAGGAAGGGAUAGCGAAAUCGUGGCUCUACGAACAGAAACGUGAUAUGAGUUCCAUCCACGAAAAUUUCAGAAGGGUCAAUCAAACCAGCUCUUAAGGCUUGAUUGAGAAUUCGAGAGAAAAUCUCAGAGAUGAGCUCUUUUU